UACGAGGGGGGCAAGCGUUGUUCGGAAUUAUUGGGCGUAAAGGGCGCGUAGGCGGGAUGGCAAGUCAGUCGUGAAAUCUCUCGGCUCAACCGAGAAACGUCGGCUGAUACUGCCGUUCUUGAGGGAUGCAGAGGAGACUGGAAUUCCCGGUGUAGCGGUGAAAUGUGUAGAGAUCGGGAGGAACACCGGUGGCGAAGGCGGGUCUCUGGGCAUCUCCUGACGCUGAGGCGCGAAAGCGUGGGGAGCAAACGGG
rnacentral:rRNA from 1 species